UACGUAGGUCUCGAGCGUUGUCCGGAUUUAUUGGGCGUAAAGCGAGCGCAGGUGGUUUAUUAAGUCUGGUGUAAAAGGCAGUGGCUCAACCAUUGUAUGCAUUGGAAACUGGUAGACUUGAGUGCAGGAGAGGAGAGUGGAAUUCCAUGUGUAGCGGUGAAAUGCGUAGAUAUAUGGAGGAACACCGGUGGCGAAAGCGGCUCUCUGGCCUGUAACUGACGCUGAAGCACGAAAGCGUGGGGAUCGAACAGG
rnacentral:rRNA from 1 species